UACAGAGGGUGCUAGCGUUGUUCGGAAUCAUUGGGCGUAAAGGGCGUGUAGGCGGUUUGUUAAGUCAUGUGUGAAAUCCCUCGGCUCAACCGGGGAACGACGCAUGAAACUGGCACGCUAGAGUUCGGGAGAGGAUGGUGGAAUUCCCAGUGUAGAGGUGAAAUUCGUAGAUAUUGGGAAGAACACCGAUGGCGAAGGCAGCCAUCUGGACCGACACUGACGCUGAGGCGCGAAAGCGUGGGGAGCAAACAGG
rnacentral:rRNA from 1 species